GGGAUGGGGUGACUAGUGACAGAGAGGGGGAUGGGGUGACUAGGGACAGAGGGGGUGAUUAGUGACAGUGAGUGAGGGGGUGACUAGUGACAGAGUGAGGGAGCGGGUGACACAGUGACAGAGUUAGGGAGGGAGUGACUAGUGACAGAGAGAGGGAUGGGGUGACUAGUGACAGUCACCCCCUCCCUCCCUCUGUCACUAGUCACUCCCUCCUUCUGUCACUAGUCACUCCCUCCCUCCCUCUGUCACCAGUCAUCCCCUCCUUCUGUCACCAGUCAUCCCCUCCCUCUGUCACUAGUCACCUCUUCCCUCCC